AUUCCAGCUCCAAUAGCGUAUAUUAAAGUUGUUGCAGUUAAAAAGCUCGUAGUUGAAUUUAUGGAGGUACUUUAGGUCCACUUGUGGUACCGAAAAAUACCUCCUUCUUUAGACGGAACCUUCGUGUCAUUAGCUUGUCGCGGAGGGUAUGUCUAUCAUUUACUGUGAAAAAAUCAGCGCGUUCAAAGCAGGCUUAUGCCGUUGAAUGUAUUAGCAUGGAAUAAUAAGAUAGGACCUUGGCACUAUUUUGUUGGUUUGCGUACCGAGGUAAUGAUUAAUAGGGACAGUUGGGGGUAUUCGUAUUCCAUUGUCAGAGGUGAAAUUCUUGGAUUUCUGGAAGACGAACUACUGCGAAAGCAUUUACCAAGGAUGUUUUCAUUAAUCAAGAACGAAAGUUAGGGGAUCGAAGAUGAUUAGAUACCAUCGU
rnacentral:rRNA from 1 species